UUUCUACUCCCUCUGUCCGAAAAUACUUGUCAUUGAAAUGGAUAAAAAGAGAUGUAUCUAAAACUAAAAUACGUCUAGAUACAUUUCCUUUUAUCCAUUUUGAUGACAAGUAUUUCCGGACGGAGGGAGUAUUUG
rnacentral:pre_miRNA from 1 species